UACGUAGGGUGCAAGCGUUAAUCGGAAUUACUGGGCGUAAAGCGUGCGCAGGCGGUUGUGCAAGGCAGGUGUGAAAUCCCCGGGCUCAACCUGGGAAUUGCAUUUGUGACUGCACGGCUAGAGUGUGUCAGAGGGGGGUAGAAUUCCACGUGUAGCAGUGAAAUGCGUAGAGAUGUGGAGGAAUACCGAUGGCGAAGGCAGCCCCCUGGGAUAACACUGACGCUCAUGCACGAAAGCGUGGGGAGCAAACAGG
rnacentral:rRNA from 1 species